GAUUACAUGACGAUGUCACCAGUGCCCUCAUGUAGAUUUUGGUAGGUUAAAUCAUUUCAUAAAAAUUUAAUCCAUAAAAAAAACAAAUAUUAAUUUUAAAAUAAGGUUAAGAUACCAUCAAAUAAUACAAAAAAAAAUAUUUAUGAAAACAGCUCUUGUAGUUUUUGUUCCAACAAUUUUAUUCAAAGUUAUUUGUAACUUAAUGUAUCAACCGUAUCCUUUAUUAAAUAUUAUUCAUAUGUUGUUUAAUAAUUCUAUGAUUAAGUAACUUAUAGAUACAUUUUUAUUAAUUUGAAUUUUGAAAAAGAAAAUCUGUAGAGACAACACAAAUUAGGAUUUUCAAACUAUAAUUAUAAAGUAAAAUAGAAUAUGAGAAAUGCAAAAAUUUCUAAAAUUAAAAAUCCUAUCAUUAUGAAGAAAAUGUAGAUGUAAAUCCCUGAAUUAAUUCUGAGCGACUUAGGGUCCGAUUGGUAAGGAUUUUCACUUUAGGCUUUAACUUUAGAAUCAUGGCUGUAGAGAAUUUGGCUGUUAAGACUUUGCAAAAGAGAAGAAAAAAAAUAAAAUGAAAAAAUGAAAAGAAGUUGCAAAAGUCACGCAUUGUUGGCUUUAGAAAAUGAAUCAAGAAGUUGCAAAAUUCACAUAUUGUUGGAUUUAGAAAAAACAACACAAAAUAGGAGAGAGAAACUUAUAAUGACUUUAGAAAAUUUAGAAUGAUUAAUUUUUAAAAAAGCUUGAUUGGUAAAAAAUAAGCUUUCGUGACUUUCUAAUCCCACAAAGCCCUCAAAGUCCUAACACCAAU
rnacentral:lncRNA from 1 species